AUGCAAUCUGCAAAACAUCCCGCACUAACGAGCCGGGACUGGCGCCUCACCUGCGCGCUGCUCUGGCAGCAGCCACCGCGAGCGGUCCGGGUCGGAGCAGGUGGGCUCUGCAGGAUCUGUUCCCCAGCAGCCCUUAUGAUUUAUAAGUUCUUAUUAUUUAUAAGAAAUUCCACAAAGGCUUUUCUGGACCGACAGUCAGUAGGGUCUGAGUCACCAGUACGGCAAAACGCACGCAUUCACUCAAAACAAGGGUGCCAAUCUGAGUCACGCUUACCAGCAGAGCAAAAAGCUUGGUGCAAGACUGGCUGCCAGCACCUGCAGCAGAGGACACGUCUUCACCUCGCCCAGAACAACGCUGGACAAAACCAUCCCCAGCUUCCAGGGAAGAAAACGGCAGAUGCUGAAUUUCAUCAGAGCAGCUGCGGCAAGAAUCAACCUCAUCUUCUUGUGGUGGUUGAAGGGAUCGAGGAGAUUUUUCCAGCCACAAAGGCGUUGUUCCCACCCAGCCCCAGCUUUGUCCCUGGAGAUGAUCCAGCAGGAGCUCCUCCAGGCGCAGGGAGGUGCGAGCGAAACGCCCCUGUGGCAUCCCCUGUAUCUCACUUUGUGACGCUGCCCAUAGCAUCAGAGCAAUGCCAGGGGCUUCUCAGCAGCACCAGCAGCGUGGUUUUGGCCACAGGACAGUCGUCGAAGCAGAACAGCCUUGUCCCAGCUCAACCCGGCCGUGCCACUGCCCCGAGCCGCUCGCCAGAGCUGAGCAUCGCCGGCGGCGCGGAGCGGAGCUGUGCUCCUGGGGACUCCUCGUGCUCACUGGCAGCGAGCAGUAAUCACAUUUUUAAGCUUCCACCAAGAAAACCUUCCAUGUAAUUUGCUAUAUUUAUACCAAACACAAUAGCGUGCGCAUAAAGGGGGAUCUAAGUAUAGGAGUCAUUGUUUUAAUGCAAUUGACUUUUUAGAUUAAAAGACUCUUAUAAAAACCUUUCUCUGAGAGGCACAGAGCCGUAAUUACAGAGUAGCGGCACGCGACAGAUAAUGUUCCCAGCCAAGGAAGUUAACUCUUCCCUCUGCCUCCCGUGGAGCCAGGAUCAGGCCGGUGCUGGCCCACCUCUGUGCUCUGGGAUGCGUGAACGUGCCAG
rnacentral:lncRNA from 1 species